rnacentral:rRNA from 1 species
GACGAACGCUGGCGGCGCGCUUAACACAUGCAAGUCGAACGGAAAGGCCUGCUUUCCCUUGUGGAUUGCGGGUACUCGAGUGGCGAACGGGUGAGUAACACGUGAGUGGUCUGCCCCCAACUUGGGUAUAAGCCUGGGAAACUGGGUCUAAUUCCCGAUAGGACUGCAGGGUGGUGCCUGUGGUGGAAAACGAUUUUCUAGUGGUUGGGGAUGAGCUCGCGGCCUAUCAGCUCGUUGGUGGGGUAAUGGCCUACCAAGGCGGCGACGGGUAGCCGGCCUGAGAGGGUGGACGGCCACAUUGGGACUGAGAUACGGCCCAGACUCCUACGGGAGGCAGCAGUGGGGAAUAUUGCACAAUGGGCGGAAGCCUGAUGCAGCGACGCCGCGUGGGGGAUGACGGCCUUCGGGUUGUAAACUCCUUUCGACCGCGAGGAAGCCACCUGGUUGGAAGGGUGGUGACGGUAGUGGUAGAAGAAGCACCGGCUAACUACGUG